GGUAAAAUGGCUGAGGAGGUAGUAAAUUGUAAGUUUACCAACGAAAUAUUUUUAUUUUUCUUUUACC
rnacentral:tRNA from 1 species